UACGUAGGGUGCGAGCGUUGUCCGGAUUUAUUGGGCGUAAAGAGCUCGUAGGCGGUUUGUCGCGUCGGCCGUGAAAUCUCCACGCUUAACGUGGAGCGUGCGGUCGAUACGGGCAGACUUGAGUUCGGUAGGGGAGACUGGAAUUCCUGGUGUAGCGGUGAAAUGCGCAGAUAUCAGGAGGAACACCGGUGGCGAAGGCGGGUCUCUGGGCCGAUACUGACGUUGAGGAGCGAAAGCGUGGGGAGCGAACAGG
rnacentral:rRNA from 1 species